UGUCCUACGGGACGCAGCAGUGGGGAAUAUUGCACAAUGGGGGAAACCCUGAUGCAGCGACGCCGCGUGAGUGAAGAAGUAUUUCGGUAUGUAAAGCUCUAUCAGCAGGGAAGAAAAUGACGGUACCUGACUAAGAAGCCCCGGCUAACUACGUGCCAGCAGCCGCGGUAAUACGUAGGGGGCAAGCGUUAUCCGGAUUUACUGGGUGUAAAGGGAGCGUAGACGGCGAGACGAGUCUGGAGUGAAAGGCCGGGGCCCAACCCCGGGACUGCUCUGGAAACUGCCUGGCUGGAGUAAAGGAGAGG
rnacentral:rRNA from 1 species